rnacentral:rRNA from 1 species
AGUUGCUACCAGGUAAUGCUGGGCACUCUGGUGAGACUGCCCCGGUUAACGGGGAGGAAGGUGGGGACGACGUCAAGUCAUCAUGGCCCUUACGCCUAGGGCUACACACGUACUACAAUGGCGCAUACAAAGGGCAGCGAUACCGCGAGGUGGAGCCAAUCCCAAAAAGUGCGUCCCAGUCCGGAUUGCAGUCUGCAACUCGACUGCAUGAAGUUGGAAUCGCUAGUAAUUCGAGAUCAGCAUGCUCGGGUGAAUGCGUUCCCGGGCCUU